rnacentral:rRNA from 1 species
UACGGAGGGUGCAAGCGUUAUCCGGAUUCACUGGGUUAAAGGGUGCGUAGGUGGGCAAGUAAGUCAGUGGUGAAAUCUCCGGGCUUAACCCGGAAACUGCCAUUGAUACUAUUUGUCUUGAAUACUGUGGAGGUCAGCGGAAUAUGUCAUGUAGCGGUGAAAUGCUUAGAUAUGACAUAGAACACCAAUUGCGAAGGCAGCUGGCUACACAAAUAUUGACACUGAGGCACGAAAGCGU